CGGGGUGCCCAGUCGGGCCCCGGGACAUUAAGGCGGGCGCCGGAAGGUGUCCGGCGCCAGCUCGUACCCAACUUGCUCUUUGGAGGAUUUGGCUAUGAGGU
rnacentral:sRNA from 1 species